ensembl:lncRNA
UUUAGGAACUAAGUUACCAAAUGCAUUUCAGAAGUAAUAGAAGCUGAUAACUUAGGAGGGCUAAGAACGAGCUUGUUCAGAGGCAGACUGCAGAAGGUGAGGAAGUGGAGAGUUGGCAGAGACUGUUGGAGGAACCCUGCCAGGUGGUUCCUCCUGAUCCUAUUAAGUGUGUAAUGAUUGUAGCAAAGACUUUGACUACUAAGUUUCUACUUUUUCUUUGGAGCAACGAGGUAAAAAGCUUCCGAUCAUCUAUCUAUAGUCCAGUGAUCUUCUUGCACACCCAGAUGCUGGGUUGCUACCUUUAUUUAGACAUUUGACGGGCAUUUAAGACUGAACACAUUCAGGCCCCAUCCACUCCUCCAGCCUGCUACACCCAUAGGCUUCAUCAUCUCAAUCAAGAGGAAUUUUUAUCUCUUUGUGCUCACAUCCAGUUAGCUUCAUUCUUUGCUUCAUGGAUACUGCAUUCAGUUCUCCAGAAAACUACGCUGACUUUUCCCUUUGAGAUGUAUUCAGAAGUGGACCAUCCUCAUCAUCUUUGCAGCCACGAAGAUUCAGACUUUUCCAUCUGGAUUAUUACAACUCCUGAUUGAUCUCUCUGUGUGCACCUUUGUUCCCCUGCAGCUGUUCAGCUCAGAAGUUCAUGUGAAUAGAACCAUACAGCAUAUAAUUGUUUUGGAUCUGGUUUCCUUCACUUGGCAUGCUUUUGAGAUGAAGCCCUGUUAAGGGCCCAGAAAUUCAUUUUUUUUCAUUGAUGGGUGGCAUUCCAUUGUGUGGCUGUAUCUCAAGUUUUCUGUUGGCUUUUUGAUGAAUAUUUGGAUUGUUUAUGAAUAAAGCUCUUUGGGGCAUUCACUUAGAUUUUUUUUAACUAGGUAUGUAGUUUUCCUUAUAGGAAAUUCUUGAGGAGUGGAAUUGUACCUUUAUAAGCAAAGGUUACAACAUUUUCCAUUCUUACUAUGCUCCGUGACUUUAUUGACAGUUGGUACUUGACAGUUGCAAUGCUAUCCUUCUGGUGGCUAACUUGUAUCUGUGAAGUUUUACAUAACAUUUCUCUUAUGUUCA